GCGAUCGUGGCGGAAUGGCAGACGCGCUAGGUUGAGGGCCUAGUGGGAGCGAUCCCGUGGAGGUUCAAGUCCUCUCGGUUGCA
rnacentral:tRNA from 1 species